AUAGCCAUAUCAAGUUGAAACACCGGAUCCCGUACGACCACUGAAGUUAAGCAACAUCGAGCCUGGCCAGUACCUAGAUGGGUGACCGCUUGGGAAUACUAGAUGCUGUAAG